UAUCUCUGUAGAGUCUGCAUAUCAAUAAGCGGAGGAAAAGAAACUAACUAGGAUUCCCUCAGUAACGGCGAGUGAAGCGGGAAGAGCUCAAAUUUGAAAUCUUCAAGGUUCUACCUUGACGAAUUGUAGUUUAAAGAAGUGUUUUCUGUUGGAGUUUUGGUAAAAGUUCUUUGGAAUAGGACAUCAUAGAGGGUGAGAAUCCCGUAUUUGACCAUUAUUUCCAACUUUGUGAUACACUUUCAAAGAGUCGGAUUGUUUGGGAAUGCAGUCCAAAAUGGGUGGUAAAUUUCAUCUAAAGCUAAAUACUGGCGAGAGACCGAUAGCGAACAAGUACCGUGAGGGAAAGAUGAAAAGAACUUUGAAAAGAGAGUUAAACAGUACGUGAAAUUGUCAAAAGGGAAGCGUUUGACACCAGUGUUGUUUUCUCGAAAAUCAAUUAAAAAUGGCGGGAUUUUGUGUUGUAUUGACUUUAUCAGCUUUCAGCACUCUUUUUCUUGUCUUUUUUAAUGCACUUUUCGUUUAACAAGUCAACAUCAAUUUCUUUUGUUGUAAAAGGGUCAUUGGAAGGUGGCUUUCUUUUCGGAGAAAGUGUUUAUAGCCUUUGGCCUCUGCAAUCGGAGAGAUUGAGGUCUGCAGCGUAGAUCCUUCGGGGUUAGAUACAUUUGUGCUAAGUUAUAGCCUUUCAUAGACAACUUGUUGACUAUGAUCAGUCAUGUAGCUUACUCGCUUAUGCUAUUUUACCUACGCUUAGGAUGUUGAUCUCUCACAGUCGAGC
rnacentral:rRNA from 1 species